rnacentral:lncRNA from 1 species
GGUGUUCACCCACCACAUGAAAUAGGAAUCUCCAAAAUUAACCAGUGAGGGGCUGGGAUUGUGGCUCAGCGGUAGAGUGCUUGCCUAGCACCGGUGGGACCCGGGUUCAAUCCUCAGCACCACAUAAAAAUAAAGGCAUUGUGUUGAGUCCAAAAUUAACCAGUGAGUUGUAACCCUACUCAGGCACAUGGUGGGGUCAAGGGGAGUGUAGCCUUUGAAUCACCUCUUGAAAAGCUCUUCUGUUCUCCCCGAUAGGUAGAAUGGCAGACUCUGGGACAGGUGUCCCCAGUGUAUUUCCUUUAGUAGCAAAGCAAUAAAGUUUCUUUAGUUCUCAAGGAAAAGGCAUUUGUAAAUGUCAGGAGAAUAGGCUAAGCACCGAGGAGGGAUAUUUUCCAAGUAUCCAGGUAGAGUAUAAAAAAAGCAUUAAUUGCGUUUAUUUUUCCCUUUGACAGCAAGAACUCAAGGGAGAGGAUUGUGUGCAAACAGAGCAACAUGACACUGAUUUUCGACAUAAAGCUCAUUCAGCAUUUUAUUAUUCAUCAUUUGCUAUACACACAAAGUUGUAAUUGCCAACUCUGGUAUUGUCAUCCCUGAGUUAAGCAGAGGUCAUUUUUCUAAAAAAAAAAAUUUAUAUAUAUAUAUACACAUAUACACAAAAAAGGAAAAUGUCUUGCAUUUAAUUUCACUGAUUCGAAUAUUUGAACGUGAAAGUGAAUCCAUUCAAUUUAAUUAUUCUGAAGUCCACUAUUGCCUAAUCCACUGUAUUCCACUGCUGAUUUCUGGCAAGGACUAUUCAAGGCUCACUCCUUGAGUAAUACUUGGAACCAAAGAACACUGAAGAAGGUUUACCCAGAUUCAGCUGGUGUCAGACAUUGGGCUGAUUCUCAGGGAUCUCACUAGCUUCAGGGAAUGUAACCAGUUCACAAUCACAUUACAGCAUCAGAAACACCCAAGCUCUAAUUGCUGGAACCUCUAGUCAUGUUUCCUCAGGACAGCACGUUAGAAACGACAGGAGAUGUGGGUGUUAGGGAACAAAUGUCAGUGGUGGGAACACAGUUCUGUAAACUGGGCUUACUGUGCUGGUCCCCCACGUGCUUUCUUUUGCAAAAGCAAUUUAUUUGCAGCCCUGCCUGGCUUAAGUGAACAGGAUAUGUUACAUUCCCCAGCAAACUACCUGUUAGCCAUAGGAGAAAUACAGGCCUGAAAUAAUGUCAAUAAGAGGAACCAAGUUAAC